rnacentral:rRNA from 1 species
AGUGAACGCUGGCGGUAGGCCUAACACAUGCAAGUCGAACGGCAGCACAGUAAAAGCUUGCUCUUACGGGUGGCGAGUGGCGGACGGGUGAGGAAUACAUCGGAAUCUACUUUUUCGUGGGGGAUAACGUAGGGAAACUUACGCUAAUACCGCAUACGACCUACGGGUGAAAGCAGGGGCUCUUCGGACCUUGCGCGAUUGAAUGACCCGAUGUCGGAUUAGCUAGUUGGCGGGGUAAAGGCCCACCAAGGCGACGAUCCGUAGCUGGUCUGAGAGGAUGAUCAGCCACACUGGAACUGAGACACGGUCCAGACUCCUACGGGAGGCAGCAGUGGGGAAUAUUGGACAAUGGGCGCAAGCCUGAUCCAGCCAUACCGCGUGGGUGAAGAAGGCCUUCGGGUUGUAAAGCCCUUUUGGUGGGAAAGAAAAGCAGCAGGUUAAUACCCCGCUGUUCUGACGGUACCCAAAGAAUAAGCACCGGCUAACUUCGUG